rnacentral:rRNA from 1 species
AGAGUUUGAUCAUGGCUCAGGAUGAACGCUGGCGGUAUGCCUAACACAUGCAAGUCGAACGAUGUCUUCGGACAUAGUGGCGGACGGGUGAGUAACGCGUGAGAAUCUGCCUCUAGGAUGGGGAUAACGGUUGGAAACGACCGCUAACACCCAAUAUGCCGUAAGGUGAAAAAUUUAUUGCCUGGAGAGGAGCUCGCGUCUGAUUAGCUAGUUGGUGGGGUAAGAGCUCACCAAGGCUUCGAUCAGUAGCUGGUCUGAGAGGAUGAGCAGCCACACUGGGACUGAGACACGGCCCAGACUCCUACGGGAGGCAGCAGUGGGGAAUUUUCCGCAAUGGGCGAAAGCCUGACGGAGCAAUACCGCGUGAGGGAGGAAUGCCUUUGGGUUGUAAACCUCUUUUCUCAGGGAAGAAGAUCUGACGGUACCUGAGGAAUAAGUAUCGGCUAACUCCGUGCCAGCAGCCGCGGUAAUACGGAGGAUGCAAGCGUUAUCCGGAAUCAUUGGGCGUAAAGCGUCCGCAGGUGGUUUCCAAAGUCUGCUGUUAAAGACUGGAGCUCAACUCCGGAACGGCGGUGGAAACUUGGAAACUAGAGUUCGGUAGGGGUAGCAGGAAUUCCCAGUGUAGCGGUGAAAUGCGUAGAUAUUGGGAAGAACAUCGGUGGCGAAGGCGUGCUACUGGACCGUAACUGACACUCAGGGACGAAAGCUAGGGGAGCGAAAGGGAUUAGAUACCCCUGUAGUCCUAGCUGUAAACGAUGGAAACUAGGUGUGGCUUGUAUCGACCCGAGCCGUGCCGUAGCUAACGCGUUAAGUUUCCCGCCUGGGGAGUACGCACGCAAGUGUGAAACUCAAAGGAAUUGAC